rnacentral:rRNA from 1 species
UGAGGAAUAUUGGUCAAUGGGCGAGAGCCUGAACCAGCCAAGUAGCGUGCAGGAUGACGGCCCUAUGGGUUGUAAACUGCUUUUAUAUGGGAAUAAAGUGAGGGACGUGUCCCUUAUUGCAUGUACCAUAUGAAUAAGGACCGGCUAAUUCCGUGCCAGCAGCCGCGGUAAUACGGUAGGUCCAGGCGUUAUCCGGAUUUAUUGGGUUUAAAGGGAGCGUAGGCGGUUUGUUAAGCGUGUUGUGAAAUGUAAGAGCUCAACUUUUAGAUUGCAGCGCGAACUGGCAGACUUGAGUGCGCACAACGUAGGCGGAAUUCAUGGUGUAGCGGUGAAAUGCUUAGAUAUCAUGACGAACUCCGAUUGCGAAGGCAGCUUACGGGAGCGCAACUGACGCUAAAGCUCGAAGGUGCGGGUAUCGAACAGG